UUUUCACCAGAGCCAGUGGUGCAGUUGUGUGCAGUUCCUUGCACAAGCAGAAACUUGGAGAAUGCAGCUGACACCACCAGUUGUUUUGAGACAACUGAUGACCCCAACUCCAGGUCAGCCGCUGAAAAAGUUAGGGAAAGGACCAAAAAGAGCUGGAAGCAAAAACUUUGCCUGCCUAAAACAAAGACUGCUAAAGAGAGGAUCUCUAAAAAGUAUUUCUCUGGGACAAAUGCCGUGAGCCCGUUGGCACCAACCAAGGCAUGUCCACUGGACAUAGCUGGAGGAAAUCAUUCACUGGAGAACCUGACCUGUACAUCUUCAGUGGUCAUCAUCAGUGAACCACAUGCCUCCACGUCGCAGGCAAUAGAAAAUGCCCCUGCUCCUGACACAGCAGCAAAGAAACCAAAGAAGCG